GGGGGGGGCAUACAUGCAAGUCGAACGAAGCACUGAAAGCAGAUUACUUCGGUUUGAAGCUUUCUUUGACUGAGUGGCGGACGGGUGAGUAACGCGUGGGUAACCUGCCUCAUACAGGGGGAUAACAGUUAGAAAUGACUGCUAAUACCGCAUAAGCGCACGGUUUCGCAUGGAACAGUGUAAAAAACUCCGGUGGUAUGGGAUGGACCCGCGUCUGAUUAGCUGGUUGGCGGGGUAACGGCCCACCAAGGCGACGAUCAGUAGCCGGCCUGAGAGGGUGAACGGCCACAUUGGGACUGAGACACGGCCCAGACUCCUGCGGGAGGCAGCAGUAGGGAAUUUUCGUCAAUGGGCGCAAGCCUGAACGAGCGAUGCCGCGUGAGUGAAGAAGGCCUUCGGGUCGUAAAGCUCUGUUGCGGGGGAAAAAAGGCAGCAUCAGGAAAUGGGUGCUGACUGAUGGUGCCCCGCCAGAAAGUCACGGCUAACUACGUGCCAGCAGCCGCGGUAAUACGUAGGUGGCGAGCGUUAUCCGGAAUGAUUGGGCGUAAAGGGUGCGCAGGCGGUCCUGCAAGUCUGGAGUGAAACGCAUGAGCUCAACUCAUGCAUGGCUUUGGAAACUGGAGGACUGGAGAAUCACUAGUGAAUU
rnacentral:rRNA from 1 species